rnacentral:lncRNA from 1 species
GCCUGGACCAUCAAUUCAAUGGCAAUAGCACAUAGGUUUUUAAUGCUUUCUAGCCAUGAAUGUUGUUCUUCUCGAUCUUCCAUGUGGUCUUGAUGAUUCCAAUGUAUGGGGUAUCUAGAUGGAUAUCUAGAAUCAUCAGGUGGUUUUGGAGAAAGAGCAUAGAACAAGCCAUAGUGGUCAAGGAUGGGUUUAGAUAUGGGUUCGUAUUCUAUAUCUAAAGUGGGCAUAUAAGGGGAGAGGAUAAGAGUGGCUUCUAGAUGGCUUCGCUCUCCUUCUAUGUCAUCACUUGGCAUGCCAUCCUUGAGUCUUUCUAAUUGUCCUUCAAAGGGAUUGGAUUUGAAAAGCUUCAUAAGAAAUGUAUUUUGAAGAUUCAAACUAUAAGCACUAAAAGAUCUCUUAUGAAGCGGGAUGUUUAAACUCCUCCCAAAAUCUUUUUGAUGGUGAAUUUGGAGUACUAGUGGGUCGGGAUGGAUAGCCGAUGCAUGGGAUUGGAAUAUUUGCAAAGUGGUUGUGAAAAGUCUCUCUUCUAGUUUGGGGGAUGAUUCCUUCUCUACCUAUAGGAUUUUAUCAUGAAGGCUAGUGCAAGGAGUGUGUCCACUAAUAAGGACAAACCUCUCCUCACUAUUGAAUAAAGAAAGCAAGAUCCCUCCAAAUGCGAUAUUAUCAAGACCCAUAUAAAGAUGUUGAAGAAAGAUAGGGUCUUAUAGGUCGAAGCCUAAAUUUAUAGUAAGAUUAAAAGAUCCCCUAACGGUAGCUAAAAGUUCAUUACCUACUUGAAUAGAAGAUAGGACCUUGGUUACAUUGCCUUCUUCAUAAGAAGAUAUGACUCUAGUUGUAGAAAAGGGCUCGCUUUGACCUAUUGCAACCAAACAUGGACGUAGCUUAUAACUAGAUGUGAGAAUGAUGGGUUCUAGUGGCUCUAAGCUUGCUCUCAUGGGUGUAGGAAAUUGAUAGGCGUGGAAUUUGGUUUAUCCAUAAGGAUAGAAAAGAAAAGAAAAAAAUAUGAGAGAAAAGAAAAAGGUAGAUUAAGACUAGGUUAUCUAAGCAGACCACCUUUCUCCCCGGAAUGGAGCUAGAAAUGCUUGUUGAUAUUAGUUAUGCACAGGAAAGAAUCUAAAGAAAUAAUCCACAGGUGCAUGGAUAUCGGUGAGCACUUCACCCGGGAGAUAAGUCCAGAGUAUCAUAUUUAUAAUUUUACCAUUGGGAGAAAGCGUGCACAAGACUACCUUGGUGUUAACUACUACCCACGGGCUGCAAGACAAGAUAGUGAGAUAUGAGCGAUAUAGAGAGAACUCAUUCGUCAGUCUUCUUCUAACCUAUGGUAAGCUAUGUAGAUAUUGUUCUAAGGGGAGUAACUAGAGAAAACAUAUACCUCAGAGAGUGCUUAACCCUAGUACCAUAUAUCCUACCUUACCUCUUGAAGGGACGUGGAUUACUGAGACCCAAGAGCAUUCUCACUUCCCCCCCCCAAAAGGCUACCACAAAUCUAGCUAGAUAGGGAGUAUCUAUAAGAGUUCCUAUCCCAAGCACCACGCUUACACUACGAAUGAUUACUCUAUUCCCAAGCGCAAGCGAAAAAAGUAAACUCAUAAACCAAAGAACAAUAGACUUACUAGUAUUAGAAGUUGAAUUGCCGAAUGAUUCUAGAACCAAGCCUCGGGUUAGGAGACUUGAUCCCGAAGAUACAAAGAAGAAGGCACUAAUAGGUCGGGCUUCCUCAAUUCCAAUCUUCACCCUAUACUCUCACAACCCC